UACGUAGGGUGCGAGCGUUGUCCGGAAUUAUUGGGCGUAAAGGGCUCGUAGGCGGUUUGUCGCGUCGGGAGUGAAAACCUUGGGCUUAACUCAGGGCUUGCUUUCGAUACGGGCAGACUAGAGGUAUGCAGGGGAGAACGGAAUUCCUGGUGUAGCGGUGAAGUGCGCAGAUAUCAGGAGGAACACCGGUGGCGAAGGCGGUUCUCUGGGCAUGAUCUGACGCUGAGGAGCGAAAGUGUGGGGAGCGAACAGA
rnacentral:rRNA from 1 species